GACGAACGCUGGCGGCGUGCUUAACACAUGCAAGUCGAACGGAAAGGCCCUGCUUUUGUGGGGUGCUCGAGUGGCGAACGGGUGAGUAACACGUGAGUAACCUGCCCUUGACUUUGGGAUAACUUCAGGAAACUGGGGCUAAUACCGGAUAGGAGCUCCUGCUGCAUGGUGGGGGUUGGAAAGUUUCGGCGGUUGGGGAUGGACUCGCGGCUUAUCAGCUUGUUGGUGGGGUAGUGGCUUACCAAGGCUUUGACGGGUAGCCGGCCUGAGAGGGUGACCGGCCACAUGGGGACGGGGAGACGGCCCAGACUCCUACGGGGGGCAGCAGUGGGGAAUAUUGCACAAGGGGCGGAAGCCUGAUGCAGCAACGCCGCGUGCGGAUGACGGCCUUCGGGUUGUAAACCGCUUUCGCCUGUGACGAAGCGUGAGUGACGGUAAUGGGUAAAGAAGCACCGGCUAACUACGUG
rnacentral:rRNA from 1 species